rnacentral:tRNA from 1 species
GGGGUUGUGGCUCAGUGGUAGAGCACCUCCCAGCACAUGCGAGGCUCUGGGUUCGAUCCUCAGCACCACA